rnacentral:lncRNA from 1 species
AUUCCUCUUCGGUUGUGCUCUUUCUGUUUUUGCCCCUUGAAUCUGUUACCUAACUGCCUCACAGAUUUUGCCCAGUGAGUUAAUAAUGAGUAUCAGUUUCCCAAGUGAUGUGAUUCGAACACCUCUUAUGUAAAGGUCCAAAUGUGUCUGCUUUCACAAUAUGUGUACUCCAGGGUGUUGCAAACUUUGCCACACAAUCAUCAGUUUUUCCAGUGCCUCUUGUGAAAUUCAAUCUGAACAGCAUGUUUGCAUCAUUAUCAUGUUCUGCCCAAGAGGAAUUUGAUCAACUCUCUUGGGUAGAAAAUGGGGAUAAGAUAAAAGUAAUGGGACCACAAGAGCAAGGAAAAAAUUAGGAAGAACAAAAAUUAAUUUUGAGUGGUAAAUUAAUUAGAUACAAAUCUCUUCUUUUUUAUUUUUUACUCAUUAUCAGUCUAUGCAAAUUAAUCACUCUAAUGGUCUAAGUUGAAAUAAAAAUGACUACUGAUUUGCUGAACUAAAGAAGGACAUGCAAAAUCUGCCAGCGUGUUAACAUAAAAAAAAGAUAACAGAAUUAUUACCUCUUAAUAUUAAAAGUAAAGUAACUUUUAAAAUUGCAUUUUAUUUACUGACCAGUGUACUGACAAUCUAUAGUACUUUCCAUAAAGCAUCAUACAUUUUAUCUCAUUUGAUCAUCAAAAUUACCCUGAGACAACUUCUAUUGUCCUCAUUUUAAAGUGAGGAAACCAGGGUUCUAAGAAGUUAAGUGAUUUGAGGUCACAGAGGAACUCUCAGAGAAACUUCACUUUUAAAGUCCUUUAAAAGAUCAUCAGUGGGGUCGGCCCAGUGGUGCAGCGGUUAAGUUCACACGUUCCACUUCGGUGGCCCUGGGUUCACCAGUUUGGAUCCUGGGUGCGGACAUGGCACUGCUUGGCAAAAGCCAUGCUGUGGUAGGCGUCCCACGUAUAAACUAGAGGAAGAUGGGCACGGAUGUUAGCUCAGAGCCAGGCUUCCUCAGCAAAAAGAGGACUGGCAGUAGUUAGCUGAGGGCUAAUCUUCCUCCAAAAAAAAAAAACCAAACAAACAAAAAACAAAAAAAAAGAAUCUUUCCUUAGGCUAGAAACUGAUUGCUGAGCUCACCUGUGACCACUCAGCUCCAGACGAUAGACUUGCUUCCUGCUGCACCCACGCAGAUAGCAGACCUACCUGCUGUUUCCAUCAAGCGCUGUGUCAACUGAGCAGUCUCGUGACUAUUGUAAAAGGGACAUUUCAAAGGGACAUUUCAAUCAUAUGUGAAACAUCCUGUUUGGGGGUAUAUAACCACUCUGUAUACCUCACUUCUUUGGCACUCUUUCUUCCUUCAGGAAGAAAGGCCCCAGGCCAUGGUCCUCUGGGUCCUCACAUUUCAGCUCAGAAUAAACUCACCCAA